UAUGUAGGGUGCGAGCGUUGUCCGGAAUUAUUGGGCGUAAAGGGCUCGUAGGCGGUUUGUCGCGUCGGGAGUGAAAUCCACUGGCUUAACUGGUGGCUUGCUUUCGAUACGGGCAGACUGGAGGUAUGCAGGGGAGAACGGAAUUCCUGGUGUAGCGGUGAAAUGCGCAGAUAUCAGGAGGAACACCGGUGGCGAAGGCGGUUCUCUGGGCAUGUUCUGACGCUGAGGAGCGAAAGUGUGGGGAGCGAACAGG
rnacentral:rRNA from 1 species